UUUAGGGUGACAUCUAUGCGAUAAAAUCAUCUGAACUGUCGAAGGCGCAGAGACUAAACAGGGGUAUGGUAGUUAUUUUAGUUUAGAGUGGGUUUAUCCACACUUAGACCAGGGUAUAGGAGUUAUAGGACUACAGAGACAUUUUGAAACAGGCUGCCGCGUUGGUUACAAUUAAUGCAACGGUCGUGUAAGCGAGGGCUGUACACGUGUUAAAUAUUUUGUCAAACUGCUGCUUUCUGUCUCGAAGCACAUAGUUCCCUGGCAGAUUGCCAUGUUGUCAGCCAGUGUCACAUUGGCCUCCUCAUGGUGGCGAGAUCUCAAGAACAGUGUGACAGUAAUAAACAAAGAAAUGCAGAGAAGAGGAAAGCAAAAGGAAGAAGAGGCCAGGCGUAGUAAAUAUUUAUGAAGGGGUGCUGAUGGUCGCUGGCUGGGUGAUGCGGUGCGUUGAAGUACAUUAACAAACACAGUAAGCAGUCUGCAUGAAUCUUUUAUAUGCUUGGAGGUCAACGACAAUAAAAAACAACAACAAAGGAUUGCAGCAAGCACACACAGCAACCCUGAAAUCAAUCAGCUGUCAGCCCCUCACUCUCUCUGCAGACCAACAGGAUGUACAAAACUGAAAGCUGUAGCUACAGUAUUGUCUAGAACGUCUGAAAGGAUGGACCUUAUGUUCAAAGCAACACAUGUAUUCUGAAAGACAAAAAUACAAUGUGUAAAAGCUGACUUUGGCAAAUUUGUGUGGAUUAUUGCAGUAGUAAAAUAUAUAUGAAAUAAAAUAUGUUAACAUGUUUACCACACACACACACACACACACAAAGGAGAUUAACUAAAUCAAAAUAAAGUUUUGUGGCUUUCA